rnacentral:rRNA from 1 species
UACGUAGGGGGGCAAGCGUUGUCCGGAUUUAUUGGGCGUAAAGCGCGCGUAGGCGGCAAGGUGUGUCGUGCGUGAAAUCUCCCGGACUUAACUGGGAGGGGCCGUGCGAAACUGCCUGGCUUGAGGUCGGAAGGGGGAAAGUGGAAUUCCGGGUUGUAGUGGUGGAAUACGUAGAAUAUCCGGAGGAACACCAGCGGCGAAGGCGGCUUUCUGGUCCGAUUCUGACGCUGAGGCGCGAAAGCGUGGGGAGCGAUCCGGA